AGGUGAUCCUGAAUAUCCUGUGUGCUGAUUGGUCUGAGGAAUAUUGGAGGGGUUAUACUGUAUGGGAGGGGAUAUGCAGUUAACAAAAGUCCCAAGCACCAGGUAUUUGUCUCUCAGAAUUUUGGAACAGGAGUUCAUCUGAGACCCGAUCGGUAAUGUGAAUAAAGGCCUCUUACUUCCUGAAGACUUGUGUCCAUAUCUCUGUGUUUGGCUUCUGCAUGCUGU